rnacentral:tRNA from 1 species
GCCCGCAUGGCUCAGUGGUAGAGCGUAUCACUAGUAGCCGCUAUGAUAAGGUCAUCAGUUCGAUUCUGAUUGUGGGCA